ACGCUUGAAGUCAGUCGCGUUGGCCAGGGAUCAACCUUGCUCUUGCUUGGUGUACUUUCUGGUUAACGGGUCAGCAUCAAUUUUGACAGGUGGAUAAAGGUUGGGGGAAUGUGGCAUCUUCGGAUGUGUUAUAGCCCCUUGGUCGCAUACAUCGGUUGGAAUUGAGGAACUCAGCACGCCGCAAGGCCGGGUUUUUAACCACGUACGUGCUUAGGAUGCUGGCAUAAUGGCUUUAAUCGACCCGUCUUGAAACACGGACCAAGGAGUC
rnacentral:rRNA from 1 species